GGCGAGUGAAGCGGGAAAAGCUCAAAUUUGUAAUCUGGCGCCUUGGGCGUCCGAGUUGUAAUCUCGAGAAGUAUUUUCCGCGCUGGACCGCACAUAAGUCUGUUGGAAUACAGCGUCAUAGUGGUGAGAACCCCGUAUAGGGUGCGGAUGUCCAGUGCUUUGUGAUAUACUUUCGAAGAGUCGAGUUGUUUGGGAAUGCAGCUCAAAUGGGGUGGUAAAUUCCAUCUAAAGCUAAAUAUUGGCGAGAGACCGAUAGCGAACAAGUACCGUGAGGGAAAGAUGAAAAGCACUUUGGAAAGAGAGUUAACAGUACGUGAAAUUGUUGGAAGGGAAACGCUUGAAGUCAGACUUGCAUUUUGGAGUUCAGCCGCAAGGUGUAUUCUUCAAUUCGCAGGCCAGCAUCAGUUUUUGGGGGUGGAAAAGCGCGGUUGGAAGGUAGCAGUUUCGGCUGUGUUAUAGCUGGCCGCUGGAUUCACUUUUGGGGACUGAGGAACGCAGUACGCUUUUUGCAAGACCUUCGGGUCUUUCGUACUUAGGAUGCUGGUGGAAUGGCUUUAAACGA
rnacentral:rRNA from 1 species